AACUCUGGAGAACUCAUUCAGUUGGGUGCCGAAGGGGCAACGCCUUGACCGAAAAAUGUUAAGGCCGAAUCUCUCAGGCAAAGGGACGGAGAC
rnacentral:ncRNA from 1 species